CACAACAGAACUGGUCAAAUGUUUGCAAGGUCUAUGUCUUUUUGCUGUAAAGUAGCAAGCUAACUAUCCUCCAGCCAGAAAUUGCAUGUAUGUCAGACUUCAACCACUUCACAAAUGGCUACUAUCUAAUAUGGCAACCAUGUGUCACUCAAGACGUGCCCUGAUGGAAAUCCCAGCUCCACAGCCGAAAAUUGCAGCUCGACUGAGAAGGUCAUACCUGGAGGUUCUAAGUUCACGCAUAGCUCCAUUCUCAACCACCUCUAGAGGCAGAAACCUGACCAGCAACUCAAAACGUGGGCAUUCAUUGAACCCAGCCAUAUACAGAACAGGGAGUAGUCGGAGUGAGGCCCAAAGUGAGAGAAUGGAAGACAACCAGACACCCCUGUCCAACCAGCAGCUUGUGCAGCUCAUAAGAUCUUUCAUCUUAGUAGAACAGGGGCAGAGGCAGGAGCCCAGAGCCCUCACUACGGACCUGAAACCUUUACAGGAGGACCUGCACCUGAAGAAGACCAAUGUCUAUAGAUCUAUACCCUACUCACGCCUGGGGUCCAACAGAGACGCACACUGUUACAGAAAGGCAUAUCCACACCUGGUGGUGUUUAAAGUUUCCUGCCAGGAGUGGGGUCAGCUGCUGCUGCAGAAUGAGGAGUGGGAGUCUGCUCUGGAGCACGCCCUAGUGGCGUGGAGGUACACCAGUGAACUGCCACAGUGGGACACCAGCAGCCACAACUUGGUGAGGGAACAGUGUUACAGCAUGCUGGCAGCACACUGCAUCACAGCUCUACAGCACUAUUGCCCAGACCCCAGCAAAGCAAUAGAGCUGCACAGGAGGUUUAAAAUGGCACAGCUGCACAGUCAGUUGAUCUAUCCUUGUAUUCAGGAGCUGGAGAGAAGCCUCGGCGAAGCACAGGUUUGUUCCAUGAACACCCGCUGAAAUGGCCAACCUGCUGAAAUGGCCAACACUAAGAUCAGCUGACAACAAUCAGCACGGCUUCCAAGUCUAUGGGGUUGCACUAUUGAACAGCGUAUAUCAGUGGUUGCCAUUCAACUAUGUUUGGUAUCCUUGCCUUGUGUUGCGCUAUUCCCCCUUGCCUACAGUAUUCCGCCUUGCCUACAGUAUUCCCUCAGAGUAAAUACAAGAGAAAGCUUUGAAUUUUGGUAAGCUGUUUUUUAAAUAUGAAUUUAAGUUUUUGUAUUUAAGUUGUUUUGUAAAAUGUGUUUAUUGCCAUUGAACUAUUGAAUGUUAUCAUAAGGAAAGUAUGAAAUGGCCUUUAAAAUGUGAAAUGCUGUCAUAGGGAAAUUAUGAAUGUCCUUUUCACCAAGAUGUUUUAUAUGUGGGGGAUGUUUUUGUGGAUGUUUUGAAAAAUGCCAUGAUACAGCUGCCUUAUUUCAACUUGGCUGAAUGCUACCUGUCUUGUAAAUAUUUGUCUAAAGUAACUGUUUUGCACUGUUUUCUUCAUCCUGGAAACUUGACAUUUUGAUAAUAGAAUC
rnacentral:lncRNA from 1 species